GAGUUCUCAUUACAGCAUGUACUAUAUAAGAUACCGUCUUGUUCCUCCGUCACAUCGGUAUUGAACACAAUAAGAUAAAGAUGUUGAAAGAGGUUAUUAUCCUGGGCUUCAUGGUCGCAGUCGGUAGUGAGAGCAUUUGCCGGAACUGCCAAGUAGAGAGGAAGCUGUACAGAGGCAACAGCCAAUUCAGCUUCAACAUAGGAUGCCUUCGUUACAAUUGCCAAUGUAAGUGUGACGGUUCCUACUACUGUCCAAAUUAUUUAACCCAAAACAUCUGCAGAGGCAGUCAGCGGCCAUGCAGUAACUGUCAGGUUUAUGGGAAAGAAUAUCCGCGUGGGCCUUUCAAUAUUGACAGCGGGUGUAGUAGACAUGAUUGCAACUGUAAUUGUGACGGAUCAUGGUAUUGCACUAAAGAGAAAACCAUACGUAUUUGUUGACCAUUCUACUGACAAAAGCUGGUUUUAAAUAUAUUGCUGUUUGAAUAAAGGAAAUAAAGCUUCCUUGCACUUGC